ACAGAUCGUUCAGAGUUUGAUCCUGGCUCAGGACGAACGCUGGCGGCGUGCUUAACACAUGCAAGUCGAACGAAGAACGAUGGGAGCUUGCUCCUAUCAAUCUUAGUGGCGAACGGGUGAGUAACGCGUAAUCAACCUGCCCUUCAAUGGGGGACAACAGUUGGAAACGACUGCUAAUACCGCAUACGAUCGUAAUUCGGCAUCGAGAUACGAUGAAAGGUGGCCUCUAUUUAUAAGCUAUCGUUGAAGGAGGGGAUUGCGUCUGAUUAGUUAGUUGGAGGGGUAACGGCCCACCAAGGCAAUGAUCAGUAGCCGGUCUGAGAGGAUGAACGGCCACAUUGGGACUGAGACACGGCCCAA
rnacentral:rRNA from 1 species